UGUCUGCCUUGUAUGGGUGGAGACUACAAUAAAUAAAAAUAAAAAGGAAUAGGCUACAAAAAAGGAUCUAUGCCAGGGCGAGCAAAUGGCGGCCCCCAGAUCAUUUUUAUCUGGCCCUCCAACUGGUUUUUGAUGUUUAAAAACCCUCUCAAUCUGAUAUCAAAGUGCCCUCUGCGCAAAGGUUUAGCGCGUUCAUCAGCGGUGAGUUUAACAACACUCAACUGCAGGUAAAACGGCAUUCAGAGGUGAGUUUGACCAAAGCAACGCUCAACUGCAGGUAAAAGCAUUAAAAUGUGAGUUUAACAACGCUCCAAGGCGCGUGCAAGUAAGCAGUUUAAGCGUUUUAUUACAACCCAUUCUCACUCCUAAAGCGCCAAAAACUGACGCCUCUAGCGUCACUAUGAAGACGCCAAAGGCGCCCCUCGGCGUCGCUAUAUCGACGCACUAGGACCUACAUUGCUUUAAGUGGGAAACUUUUGGCGUCAGUACUCAGACGCGAAGGGCAUGAGAUGUUUAUCGCUAUGAAAUCACGUUCAAGAAGUCUCAUUCAGCGCACAUCGCGAUAUUUGCCAUCAGUUUACAUGUGCCACAGGUUGGCUGAAAAGACAUGAAGGAAGCAGUCAGCCCAGUCGUGUUUGUGGAGAGGUAUUCCUUCAGAAAUGGAGAAGAUAGAAAGCUGCGGAGGCAGACAUUUGCAGCAGAUUGUUUGCAGAUAACGCUGUACUCCAUCAUGCACAAGGACUCACCUCUUUAACUCUUUAUCCCCCACACACACAGAAAUGGUCCCUGGAUCAGUGUUUAGACUUUGCAGUGGUUUGAUUUUUGCAGAAAAUGCAACUUUGUUUUAAUUAUAAGCUUAUAAUGAAUACAUUUUGACCUUCCAGCAGCCCAUAUACUGUAUACAGAACCAGUGAUGAAAACAAUAGUUGAAAAUAGUAUUUUCGUAUUGAUAAAGCAUUGUGUUCUCUUUUUCAAGCUUCAUACAGUAAACUUUACUUCUGGUGCUUUUAUCAUAAAAAAAGCAUCAGUUCUCAUCAGGAGUUUUAGUAAAGGACAUAUUCAUGCACAGCCAUCCCCUAGUUCCAGUCAUGAAGCGAAUGAUGUUAUUGUCAGAUUUAUAUUUCUGCAUUUUUAUGUAGCAGGUGUUUGUUUUCCUGAACACUUUAUUUUUCUUCCAUUGUUCGGACAAUCAAUGUUUAUUUGAUGCUGUGCUGAUAGAGUUUUAUAGAUAAUAUUGCACACUUGACAUGCAUGUCUUCAUGGUGUUAUUUUCUGAGUUUGAAACAGUGUGUUGUAUCACUUUUUGGUCAAUUUAACUUUUAAGAAAAUUGAUUUUUCCAGUGUUCUCUGAAAGACUGUAUCUGUAUAUACUGUAUUUACUGUUUUGUUUUUUAAUAAAAGUAUUUGCAUAAUGAAAAUA